GUGUGUGUGUGUGUGUGUGUGUGUGUGUGCACUUGCAUUUAUUACUUGGUGGGGCCCAAUGGCAAGGAGCACACCAACAGUGAGGGGCCCAGCGACAGUGUGGGGCCCAAAAUGGUGGGCCCCACACCGAUUUCAAUUUAUUUCAGCUCAGGAGACUCCCCUGAUAUGCCUCCCGCUUUUUCUUCACAUGGCCCACAAGGUAACAAAAACUGGAAAGUGUGUAAAAGUGUGUAACUUUUUUUGUGCUCGUGAGAGCCCCGGGUGGCACUUCGUGGUACUGCAGCAGAUACACACACUUCCUGAAGUGUGUAUCAUCUCAGCCAAUGGAACAAGAUGUGGGCGGGGCCUCCCUGCAAUAUGACACUCACUACGUCAUCUCCGUCUGUCGACUCCAGGCCUGCCAUGCUGUGCAAAACAGAGCCAUAAUGUCAAAAAGGAAGAACAGGAUACAGCCUGUUGAUGAUGCAACAUUAUAUAUUCUGUCUUCGAGGGACAAGCCUGGAUUUAUAGAAAGAUUUAUUAAUAGUAACAAAGGAAGAGGAGUGUUUGUUACCCAGCCCAUUGAACCAGGAGCUUUCCUCUUGGAAUACAGAGGUGAACUCUUAUCAGUUGAAGAAUGCUGGUCCAGACACUACUCGGAGAAACAGAGUACAUUUCUGUUUGAAUUUGAAUGGGAAAAACGUCGCUGGGGUAUUGAUGCAUCAAAAGAAGACGGCUCUCUUGGAAGAUUAGUGAAUGACAAUCACAGAUCUCCAAAUUGCAUCAUGAAAAAAAAUCUUAGUAAACAACACACCACAUAUGUGUCUAUUUGCUGUGAAAAAAAUAGAAAUCGGAUCUGAAAUUGAGUACAACUACGGUGAUUGGCGUAAAAUGGUACUUUGUUUUUGCUAAUUUGUGUAAAAAUGUGUUGCAAAAGUAAAAAUUGGUGAACUAGUGCACGACAGCUACUGUUUUAUGUCUGUCUCCAUAAUGCAUUGUGACUUGUUGAUAAGCAUUCAGCUAAACUUUAAAAAAAUGUCAUAUUUCUGAAAAAGAGCAAAUUGUGUCUGUCAGCAUGUAGUGUUUUAUUGUUUGUAUCUGAAUUCCAGCAAACAAACAAGCAGACUUCUCCUGUGGCAGCAAAGAUCGAGAUGUCCCCCAUAGAUGGUGCUUUGCAUGAGAAUUCAAACCAGAAUGAUGCUUGUGCACAGGUAACAAACAAGAUGGCUUCUGCUGUGGCAGUAGAGCCUGAGAUGUCCCCCAUACAUGGUGCUUCACAUGAGGAUUCAGACCAAGAUGAUGCUCAUGCACAGGUAACAAACAAGAUGGCUUCUGCUGUGGCAGUAGAGCCUGAGAUGUCCCCCAUACAUGGUGCUUCACAUGAGGAUUCAGACCAAGAUGAUGCUUAUGCA